rnacentral:rRNA from 1 species
ACGGAGGCAGCAGUGGGGAAUAUUGGGCAAUGGGCGCAAGCCUGACCCAGCAACGCCGCGUGAAGGAAGAAGGCUUUCGGGUUGUAAACUUCUUUUAAGGGGGAAGAGUAGAAGACGGUACCCCUAGAAUAAGCCACGGCUAACUACGUGCCAGCAGCCGCGGUAAUACGUAGGUGGCAAGCGUUGUCCGGAUUUACUGGGUGUAAAGGGCGUGCAGCCGGGGAAGCAAGUCAGAUGUGAAAUCCAUGAGCUCAACUCAUGAACUGCAUUUGAAACUGUUUCUCUUGAGUACUGGAGAGGCAAUCGGAAUUCCUAGUGUAGCGGUGAAAUGCGUAGAUAUUAGGAGGAACACCAGUGGCGAAGGCGGAUUGCUGGACAGCAACUGACGGUGAGGCGCGAAAGUGUGGGGAGCAAACAGGAUUAGAUACCCUGGUA